CUGGAUUUUUUGUUUGUUUGUUUUCUGUUUUGUUUUGUUUUUUGAGAAUAUACCACUCAUGUUGUUUGCUAAACAGUUCAUCUGGUGGUUUGUCUGUGGUUGCCAAACAAUAAUCCCUAAAUCCUUGGAAUUUUUCAAAUGACAUCUACCUUUGUUAUUCAGAUUUAGCUGUUUACCAUACCCUUGUUUUGCUAAAGAAGUGAUUGAGGAUAUGGACCAAUGGAAUUGUCAAGCCAAGAAAAGAAUUAUUUGCUGAGAGGGUACCUGGAUCCACACCACAGAGACACAGGAGGUCAUAAGAUCCCAUUGUCCUGAGCUUCAGAGAUAGAGCAGAAGUGAACAACAGAAAGAGGGCCACUCCCAGUCUCCUUGAAGAAAAUUGAAGCCUACUAGAAAAGUGAAGAAAAUCUCUGCAAAAAAGGCACACAAGACCACCAUGGUUGGUAAGUUGCAGGGAUCGCCACAUUCCAUUGGAACUUAGACUUCAGAGGAAGGGCAGCUGGAAC
rnacentral:lncRNA from 1 species